rnacentral:rRNA from 1 species
UACAGGGGGUGCAAACGUUGCUCGGAAUUAUUGGGCGUAAAGCGCACGUAGGCGGUUUGUUAUGUCGGAUGUGAAAGCCCGAGGCUCAACCUCGGAACUGCCUUCGAUACUGCGGGUCUCGAGUCCGGGAGAGGUGAGUGGAAUUCCUAGUGUAGAGGUGAAAUUCGUAGAUAUUAGGAAGAACACCAGUGGCGAAGGCGGCUCACUGGCCCGGUACUGACGCUGAGGCGCGAAAGCGUGGGGAGCAAACAGG